CAAUUCCAGAAGCCCUUGUUUUCUAAUUUUCUUGGUUGCUAACUGGGAGGCUGGCAUGUGAAAUUCUGCACUUGCCUUUGAAAGAGGCAAGUCGUUCUCAGUGGUUCUUACAUUGUGGGGUAGACUGCUCUUGAGAGGCCUGAAUAGGGUGGGGUUGCAAUGGUCCUUGGAGGGAUAGGAUCCAGUCCAGAUCUUGGUGGUUUGGCUGCCCCAUAGACAGAGGAACCUCAGUGAUCCACACCGGAUUUGUAGGAGUGACUGUAACUUUGUGGCUCAGUCACUUGAAAGUGAUUUGUGGAGCAGGUGGCUCCGAAAGAGCUGCUUUUUAUGCUGUUUCUUUGUGCAUGCUUUUGGGUGGAAGCCUGAGCUACUUUGUGCUAUCCUUUGUUUAAAGCUCAGUGCAGGCCGUGUUUAACACUGUUCCUGCAUGUAGCUCUUAGGAACCCAGGCUCCAUUGUGUGCUGCAUGCUCUCUGUGUCUGUCUGUCUGUCUGUCUGUCUGUCUGUCUGCCUGUCUCUCUAUCUCUGCCCUCCCCCUUUUGCUUUUUCUCCAGAAAGCUGCAUAAUGUCAGGACAAGUAUAAGCCACAUGUUGAAAUCUAAGAUUCCUCAAGUAACUUGUGUGCAUUAUUGUUGUUGUUUUUUGCUUCUUCUUCUUAUUUAUUUUAGUACUGUACAAUUGUUGGCCAAAUAGUCUCUAUUUCUCAGUCUGAAGGUAGUGAUUUAGAAAAUACUUUUUUAUAUAUAUCUAAGCCAUCUGGGAGGAAGGAUGAGUCAUAACAGAGCAAGCAGCACAGGCAUGGCUGGAUUCUCUGUAGAGUUCUUCUUCUUUAAGGACGUGCUGCUGGUUGUCUGAGGCUUGGUUUUUUCCAUGGCAGGCAAGGAUAGCGAUGUCAUAAAGGGAGACCUUGAGACAUAGGCAGUGGCAUUUAUUUAUUUAGCUGCUUAACUACAGUGGUCUCUUAAGCAGUUUACAAUGCAAGAAGUAAAACAUCAGUUCAAACUAUAAAAUCAAACUUCAGUUAAAAUUCCUGCUGCAAUGAUAAAACAAAUUCUUCAGUAGGCACCUGAAGUUCAGUAGGCCUAUCUGACCUCAACUAGAAAGGUGUUCCAUAAAAUUGGACUCAAAAUACUGAACACACAACUCCUGGUGGCCAUGAGCCCUGCAUUUGAGCUAUGGGGGAUCACUAACAGUGACUCCCCUGAAGAUCUCAGUGAUCUGGCAGGGGUAUAAGGGAUUAGGUGGUCCUUGAAGUUUCCUGGACCCAAAUUGUUAAAAGCCUUGUAAAUUAAUACAAGAACCUUGAUCCUGGCUUGGUAGCAUAUGGGCAGUCAGUGCAAACUUUUGAACACUGGAGUUAUGAGCUGGCAAUAGUAUGUUUUUAUCAACAGUCUAGCCGAAGCAUUUGGCACCAACUGGAGUCUUCUGAUGAGGCCCAAGGGUAGCCCCACAUAUAAAGCACAUUGUAAUAAUUGAAUCUUGAGAUUCCCAAUCCAUGAAUCACCAUGGCCAGACUAUUGGCUGUAGUUAGUGUAACAACUGCAGCUGGUAAAAGGCACUCCAAGCCACUGAGGCCAUUGAGCUUCAAGUGACAAAGGUGGAUCGAGGGAGUGCAACCCUAUCCAGAACAGGGAACUGUUGAAUAUGCCAGACACGGGAACCCACCCACCCCCAGUUCCUUUGUCUUCCCAGGGCUUACAUUCAAUUUAAUGGCCAUCAUCCAGUACAGCUGUGUGUCCUCAGCAUAUUGAUGAGACUUUGCCCACAAACUGCUAAUGGCUUCAUACAGAUGAUAAACAGCAUUGGGGCAAUAUAGCUUGUACACCACAGUUGAAAGAUCAUGUAGCUGAAGCAGAGUCUUCCAGUGCUGCUCUCUGGACAUGACCCUGUUUGAUCAGAUAUACUAGAUUCAGGGGCAGCACAUCCUGAUUCCCCACUUGAGGCAAAAUGGGAACGGGCCACCCCCACUGUUCUGCCUCUCUUACCUGUGUUAUGUGAUGGUGUCCAUGAAGCAUGAGCAGCAGUGGCACCAACUUCCGUCAAGAUCUUUCAAGAUCUCACCGAAGUCUCAGAAGAUCUUACGUGCUUUGUGAGUUCUUGUGAGAUUUGGGUGAGAUCUCCCUGGAAACCACUGCCACUGCAAGGUAUGGGGGGGCAUUGCUGUUCCACCCCCUAUUAGAAAGGCUAGCUCAAGUCAGUAGCACAUGAGACUCUUAAUCUCAGGAUUGUGGGUUUGAGCCCCGUGUUGGGCAAAAGAUUCCUACAUUGCAGGGGGUUGGACUGUAUGAUCCGCAUGCUCCCUUCUAACUCUAUGAUCUGUGAUCCCUGGCUUAGCUUUCAGCAGACAAUGUGCCCUCAGGUAAAUUUUAUCUCUAGCUGGGUGCUGAUAAUGGAAGUAGCUGGCUGUGGGGUGCAUUCCUGUGAGUAUCUGGAGAGGGAGCGACUGCAGUGGGGUAAGAUACAGACAAGUAGAGAAUUCUGCACCCUUCACACAUGUACCGUUUUUGCUUUUUAACACUCACUUUAGGCAUAAUUGGAGGCAGCCUCUCAUCAUAAAAAGUGGCUCUGCUCUGCUGCCAUCACAGCCUUGAACAUUCCCAGUGGCUCUUAAUACACCAUGUAUCGUUUUAGGAAUAGGUAGCAAUAUUUGAGGCCUGCUUGUCUUGCUUUUCAAUUCAAGCUUUUGUUUCCACCACUCUCUCUCCAAGAGGCUGCCUCCCUCCCUCCUUUCAUUCUUAUGCCAGACAAAAAUAGUCUGAAUCCUUUGAACCUGGAAAUGGGCAUGGAAACAGCUUCCUUCCAAUGCUUUCCCUUUGAUCUGAGGCAGUCAGUCCACUGCAGUAAUGGGAAAGACUAUCACUUGGUGAUGCUGUAUAAGUUGCAGAUGACCUUGGACAAAUAUAAAUGUGUCCUUGAGGUGAUUAAUAACCUUCUGUGCAUGGCAUUGGUGGGACAUCUGCUGCAUUAUUCAAUCUAAUUCUGCUGCCUUGAAAAUGUUGAAAGGGUGCGGUAGGCAUUUAAAGGAAGAUCUACAAGCAUGAAUUCCUAAUGAAGAAAUGGUUGGAGCAUGUUGAUUUGCAUUAGGGAUUGAAUGUGCCCUUUUCACUGUCUAUAAGAAUGUAAUAAGAGCCCUGCUGGAUUCAAGUCAAUGGCCCAUCUAGUGCAGCAUCCUGUUCUCACAGUGGCCAACCAUUUGCCUCUGUAGGAAGCCUGCGAGCAGGACAUGAGCACAGGGCAGCAACAACGCUGCCUGGUUUCUCACUAUUCUGCACUAUGGGCAGGCAAUAUUGUAGGAUCAGUUUGGGUGGUGGAGUUGCUGUCACUGUCUUCCCAGUUGAGUGCAAGUCUACCCUAGGGAAAAUGUACCUGCCCAGGUACCAUUUACGCUUGAGAGCACCAAAGCAGAAACAUAGAAAGUUUCCUGUGCAUGAGUAUGUGAGAACAAGAGCUGCUGGAAUGUUUAACUUCCUGUUCUGGCUGAACAGUUAAGCAACAUUGGGGAAGGGAUGUUGCUCAGUGCUAGAGCACAAGUUUUGCAUGAAGAUUGUCCCAAUUUCAUUCCCGGGCAUCUCCAAGUAGAGUUGUCUGAACUCCUAAAGAGGAUGUAGCACACAGUUGAAAUAUCUAACUUGCUUCCAUGGUAUUUGGUGACGACUGUCAGCUUGGAUGACUUUAAAAGGAGAUUGGCCAUCUUCACAGUGGGCAAUGCUAUCAAUCGCUAUUAGUCUUUAUGGCUCUCUAGUACUUCCACGAUUAGAGCUCAUAUGGCUCUGUGCACCAGUUGCUAGGGAAGAAGAGUGAGACAUCUUCUUUGAAGGUUUCUGGUUGGCUACUGUGGGAAACAGGAUGAUGGAAUAUAUAAGCCCCUGGUUUGGUAUGGCAGGGUUCUCCUUAUGUUCUGGCAUUGCUUUUGACCAUGAUUGCAAGAUGUUUUUGUUGUGAUGUGAAAUGCAGACCUGCACUUCAGAGGAACAUGGAUGUGCCUCAGACAUGUGAGAAAGUGACUGUGCAGGCAGGUGUGGCCUUAAUGUGAGAUGUUUUACUAGUACACAGUGACUCAGCCACACUGAAACACUACACCUUCCUCUUUUGACUGCCAUGAGCCACUUUUGUCCUGACUGGAUGCAGAGGAAAUCCCUAGCCAUGCUUUCUGACUGUCAGGCCUAGGGGGAAUAGUUGAGAGUGCCAGAGCGUUCCCCCGUCUCGCCCAUGGUGAGCCUAGAAAGGGUGUGCAUCAUUCUGGUGCUUAGCUCUCCUAGUUCCUCUGGUCUGAGCACUAGCAGGACUUGGAAGAGCCAGACUAUAGUGUGCGGUUUUCUGGGACAGUGAUCCUCCCACUUCUCUUUUUCAAGGCAGAAAAAUUUGGAAACCCUGCUCCCUGACCAGGAGGUUGCAGUCUCCAAGAGUGAUCCCACCUCCGAAAUAAAUCAUUGGAGGCCCCAGCAUGAUACGAGUGCCUCUAUUUUGGACACAGACCAUGUGGAUGACAACCAUUUCUUAUUGGCUGUGCCAGAUCAGCUUGGCAAGCCAUGAUGCUUUUAUACUGGCUUUGCGGAUGCUGUAGUCAUGUGUUUUCAGCCAGUGCAGUUGUGUGCAUGUUAAGGAUCUCAGUGCCAUUUACUUUAUGCCUUGGGAAACCAAUUAGCCUGCAGGGGUGGUAUCUCUACCACGCUCCUUUGGAGGCAGUGAGGAUUACAGUGCAAACGAAUUCAGAUGCUACAGUAGCAAUCACAGUUACAUCAGCUCUUCAGUUUCAAUUGGUAUUAUCUACUUUUUAAAAAAUCCCAUGGACAGUCUGUUUGCUUCCAAGGUGGCCCAUUUAUGACAACACCUGUAUAUAGCUAGAUGCCUGCUCCUCUUGUUGCCAUCAAAGCAGCUAGCCAGAAAUAGCUCUCCAUACUAUAAGAUUGCAGUGACUCAGUCUGCUGCAUUUUUUCGAAUCCCAUUUCCCUUAAGGAAAUUACACCCGCCCCCAAGGAACUGGCAUGUGGACAACUUCACUCACAUUCUCAACUGACUACCAGAUUCACCCCAUUUUACUAGAGUUUCUUAACAUUGCACAUUUUUCUAUAGGCCUCAGACCAGUCAAGCACCUGUGCCUUUACUUUUCACAUUCCUUGGGUUGUUCCAAAGCAGAAGCUCUGUAACGAUGAACUAAGCUAUAGGCAGUGAUGGGCAUUCAGAAUGCUAUUAUGGAACUGCAGCAAACAUUUCAUUUAUUUAUUACAUCCAUUUUCCACCUUUCCUCCAAGGAGCUCAGGGUGGCAUCCAGUGAUACCUUCCUACUUUAUUCUCACAGCAACCAAGUAAGCGUAGGUUAGGCUUAGAGUAUAUGGCUGGCCCAAGAUUGCCCAGUGAACUUAGUGGCUGAAUGGGGAUUGGAACCUGGGCCCGUCUUAGCAAGUGCACCACGCGGGCUGACUUCAUAUCCAGAACUCUGAUUCAUAGAGCAUAGGUGAGAAGAGUAGGGAUUUUUCAAAGGUCAUCAUAUAGGUCAGUGAUGGAGUCAAGAAUCAUACUCAGGUCUUUUGUCUUCCUAGUCAUGCAGUUGGGGAGCAACACUGUGUAUGGAUGUUGAGGAAUUUAUGCAUUCGGGAAGUUAAUUCCAAGGUUGCUUUGAGACGCCAAGCUCUUUUUUAAUAGUACCUGGGGAACUACAGCCUUUUAAUUAUGGUUGAAGGGAAUUGGAAUUUUGUAAAUAACACCAUCGCCACCUCCGACUUCCUUCCCCCAUUCAAGUCAUAACAAGAGAUGUGCUCAGCAUCAAGUGGCCUACUAAUCAGAAGCUGCGAAGCUGACUAAAAGGCCCUGUGCGGCUUGGAAUGUGCUGUGCCUUUCCAGGAACAGCAGGGACCUAAAAGCACAUCUGUAACAUUGCCAUUGGAUAAUCCUGAUUAUUUCCAGGAGGACUCAUCCACACGUUUGCUUGACCCAUAUUUUGAUUGUAUUGUGUACUGAUUAAUUUCUCUGGGCCUGAAUGCUUUUCUUGUUGUUCUGUUGCUGUGCCUUGCAAAAAUCCGAUCUUACUUGCUGAAUCGGAUCUUAUCAGAUGUGCAGAAAAUCUGUAGAUAGAUUUUGCUUAACUGAGCUUUAAUUCAGUGAGUAUGAUCGGAUUUUCUCAAGGCACAGCCGCAGAACAACGAUAAAAGCUAUUGGACCUGGGGCAAGUACACAAUACAAGCAAAAUAUGGGUCAAGUGAAAGUGUGGAUGAGCUUGUAGUGUCUGAAUGGUGACUUCUCUUGGCUCUGUGAGGUCUUUUGAUGCUGCAUCCACUAUGUGGAAAAGAAACACAGGCUUCCACAGUGACAGUUUUCAAUUAUUGCUGCCAAUAGCUUGACAAGUCUCCCCACCCCCUUAAACAGAAAGAAACUGAGAGUGAGAAGAAGUUACUACAGAGUUUGCAAAGAAACCGUAUCUCUGUUGAACCGUUUGUGUACCAACCUGAUGCUUGGUUACUGAGUUUUAGGUUUACUUUUUAAAUAAAAAUGGAAGAAAGAUCCAACUGCAGUCCAUAUGUACUUUGUUUCCAGUCUUGCUUUAUUUCUGCUUGUUUUCCUUCAAGAUUUGGAAGUGGUCUCUUGCUUUCUCUCCUGGUUUAAUUGUCAUCCCACAUAAAACAGCAUUUUGCUGAAUCCAAGCUAUUACACUUACCAUCAAAACAACAAACAUUUCUCUCCCUAGUCCCUUUCCACUUAAAAAUGAAAGUAGGGAAGAAAUCUUGGGUAGAAGAAGAAUGCCUCUUCACAUUUAGGGACAGAAGGAGAGUAGUUCUUUCUUUACCUGAAAAAUUGCUUCUUUCCCAUGAUCUAUGCAGAUGGUUUGCUUAUCUUUGGCUGAAAUUGGUCUGGGCCAGAUUGCUGAUAAUGGAGCAGGUCUUUUGAACCAAUUCCCAUGCAGGCAAAGCAGCAACACCCAAGUAGGUUCUGAGCUGAGCGGAUGUUUCAAAUCACCCAUAAUGGGCUCCUAGUUGUAAUUAUGGGCCCAUCAUUACAGGGUUGGGACUCAAAACCCUGUGGAGUGCAAUUUCGGAAGCAACCAGUUUCGUGGCUAUGAUUCCCUUCUUGUUACAAAAUCAGCAGGCUCUCGUUAGCUUCAGUGGGUGCAGCCUAGAUGUUCAGCUAAAUGUUCAUCUUAGAGGCUUCAAUUUCCCAAGAGGCCAAAAAAUCCUUGACUACCAGACAUUUUUUAAAUACCGUUUGAUUUUACAAAACCUUUUUUCCAUCAGCAAAGUCCAGUUUUCUCACUUUAACAGGUAAAUAGCUUGCAAAAACCCCACAAAAGAACAGGGCAGAAUCAAUUGUACAAUAACAUGUAGCAUAGGAGACACAACGAUAAAUUAAAGUGGGAUGUAGAGAGGCUGUGAAGGACUUUGAGUCUGAGUUAUAGCCAUUUCAUGCCAGGUUAUAUAAAAAAGGGGAAUGAAAACUACCAGUAUAUGGUGUCAGAAUCUUUGUUCUUGUAAGCUCUUGAAGGACUUUUCUGCAGUGACAAGCUAUGUGUGUGAGCAAGAAAAUAGUUUGCAACCUUCUAGUUCCUCAAGUCUCUACAAUGCAGCACUCUUCUGUUGAUUGAAUCCAAGUAAUGCCUCUGAAUCAUAGGAGCCUUAGAGCAUGGCACAAGCUCAUACAUAGCCUCUAUCAAAAGCAGGACACUUAUUCACAUUUUGUAAGGCCAAGAGGCACACAAGGCGGCUUGCCCAGUAUCAUAGUACAAGUCUGUGGCAGAAGCUUGGUGCCAGCCUUUCCUUGAGCCUCUGGCUUUGUUGCAAGUCACCCUUACUCUUUUUCCUCAUGCCCCUUCCUUGCUCCUUGUUCUUUACCGGGGACUUGAAAUGACAAGCAAUGGGACUCACUAAACACAAUUCACUGACAAACAAGCAGUGGCAUUUAUAUUUGAAGGUGAGAAGGAACAAAGUAAGUCUGAGCUGAUGGCUGCCCAAAGAUCCUCCAAAGGACAGAUCCACACAUCCAAAAUAGAACUUGGCUUAACAGCCAUUUCCCUCUCCUUGGGAAAUCCUGGGAACUGUAGCUCAUGAAUCAGGGGAAGAGUUGUCAGCAUCCCACCCAAACCUACAUUCCCUGGGAUUCUUCGAAAAUGCCAGGGCAGUUGAACUGAUAUAAAUCUAAUUCAAAACGUGUACUGUAAAUAUGCCCUCAGAGCAAUUUUUAAAAGGCACACAUCAAUAGAGCUUUUGCCUUGUUUCAUAGAAUAAUAGAAUCUUAGAGUUGGAAGGGACCCCAAGGGCCAUCUAGUCCAACCCUCUGAAAUUCAGGAAUCUCAACUAAAGCAUCCAUGACAGAUGGCCACCCAGGCUCUGUUUAAAGACCUGCAAGGAAGGAGAGUCCACCACCUCCCAGGGGAGACCAAAGUUCUUCCUGAUGUUUUGUCAGAAUCUCCUUUCUUGUAACUUGAAUCCAUUGGUUUGAGUCCUACCUUCCAGAGCGAGAGAAAACAUGUUUGCUCCAUCUACCAUGUGACAGCCCUUCAGAUAUUUGAAGACGGUUUUCAUAUCUCCUCUCAGUCUCCUCUUUUCCAACUCCCUCAACCAUUCCUCGUAUGGCUUGGCUUCUAGACCCCUGGUCAUCUUAGUCGUCCUCCUCUGCACCCAGUGGUACUAUUACUUUCCUUGAUCUGGACACUAUACUUUUGUUGAUGCAGACUACAAUAGCAUUAGCUGUUUUUUGCUGCUGCAUCACACUGUUGACUCAUGUGAAGCAUGACCCCUAGAUCCUUUAAACAUGUACUGCUAGUAAGCCAGGUGUCCCCCAUCUUAUAUUUGUGCACCUGGUUCUUCCUGCCUAAGUGCAGAGCCUUGCAUUUGUCCCUAUUGAAAUUAAUUUUGUUAGCUUAGACACAAUUAUCCAAUCUGUUAAGGUCAUUUUGAAUUCUGAAUCUGUCUUCUAUGGCAUUAGCUACCCCUCCCAGUUUGGUGUCAUGAGCAGAUUUGAUGAGCAUCCCCUCAAUUCUUUCAUCCAAUUCAUUUAUAAAGAUGUUGAAGAACAAUGGGCCCAGGACAGAACCCUGUGGCACCCCAUUUGUCACUUUUUCCCAGGAUGACGAGGAACCAUUAAUGAGUAAUCUUUGGGUUCAGUCAGCAAAGCAGUUACAAAUCCACCUAACAGUUACCUUGUUCAACCCACAUUUUACCAGCUUCCUCGCGAGAAUAUUUGUGACCCACUUCUUUCUUUGUUUUUGAUCUGAUCAUGAAGGCCUGUGAAACUAGCAUGCUGCACUUAGUGUGCCCAGAAACUUGUGACCUACUUUCAGACUUUUGUGUGCACACACCCCCCCCAUUUGUCUCAGCUCAUCAUCAAUUUCGGAAAUUAUUGACCUAAAGGUGCCUAGAUCGCAAGGCUGGGUAUCUGUGGCAGGACACAAUCACUGGAUUUGUUCCUCCAUUGAGCAUUUUGGAAGGACUGCUAGCCUUUGUAAUCUUGAUCUAAACCUCCUCUUUAUGAAUGCAUUUUCUGCAGCCUUGUGGCCCAUUGACAAUGCCUGUGUUCAUUUGCAACUGGGUUCCCUUCUGACUCUGAUCCUCCAAACAAUUUCAGAAGGAAAUCGGCUUUCAGGUUCUUAGACCUCUAAAUACUCAUAGCUUAGCAGGAGGCAGGCUUCUCAGACUUUUAAUAAUUUAAUGCCUUUCUCUGUGCAGCUUGCGUUCCUUACACACAUCAUGUGCCUGCCUCUUAAUGCUGUGCUUUAUAUGAACAGUGUGUUUUCAAUGAUCUCAGCAAGGGGUGGCAACUGGGUGCCAAUAGGUUAGUAUUAAGACAGCUCCCAGUGGCACAGUAAAAAUGUAAAAAUGGAAAUGUUGCUAUGCUGGCUUUAGAUACAUAGCCCACUCAGCCCAGGAUCUUCCAUAUGUACUGGAUACCAGCUGGGGUACAUCAGAGGAAAACAGUUGAGAAGCCUAAUCUACCCUUCACUUUCUUCCUGGCCAAAAUAGAACUUCCUGCAUUGGGUAUCUUGCAGUGAAAGAAGACUGUGUGUCAUCCUUCUGACAACACUGAAAUGAAGAACCAGGGGCCCGCCAGAUGUUGUUGGACAUGUCUUUAAAAAAGACGUGAGGAUUUCGUUUAGUUUGUUUUUUCUUUAUAUCUAGAAUAUUUAGCAGGGUUCAAAUGGUAUCUUUCAGAGAAAAUAUUUUAAGACUAUUGCUCCUACAGUGAGCAGGAAGCCAAAAUAAAUCACCCAGGUGCUACUAAAAAAUACAACAUACUGAAAAUAAUGACACAAAGCUAGUUUUAAACCAUACCAAUUCAUCAACGCACAUGUUGUGAAGCUCUUGAAGCAGCAUGAUGAAUCUCUUCCACGGUUUGGGACUGAUGCAGAUGCUGCCUUUACAUGGCCCCUGAAAAGGAAUGGAAUUUAUUUCUUCAUUUAUUUAAAGCUCGAAUCUGCCCUAUCCUGAAAGCCAAGAGCAGGAAACAUGUAAAGCAAACUUACUAAACACUGGUAAGCACAAGGCACAAUGUGAUUGUCACCCAGCAACUGCCUUGGCUCAUCUGACUGCUGCCUACCAACCAACCUUUAAUAGCAGAUGGAUUUUAAAAGUAAUUUAGAGAUGUGAUCUGCUGGAAUAAAAUAUAUGCCCUCUUCCAAAAAUCUGCUGUCCCUUCUUCACUUUUAUUGGCUGGAUGUGGGUGUUGGUUGGGGUGGAGUUGUUCUAGACUGUCCAAAUAUUUACCUUGAAGAGACUCUCUUGAUGGGUUUCACUCCAUGUUCUGAGUUUAACUUGAUCACCAUCGUCGUGGUUAAGAAGAAAUGGCUUUAUACGAAACAUAUGGUUUGGAUGUUUUGCUUGAGCAAUCUGGAUUGUUUUACUAAGCUGCUUCAUAGUGAACACCGCACAUGGGAAAGUUCACAUGUCAGAGAGAAGGCUAUUAUGCUGGCUUUCUUGGCACAUCAGUUUUCCAUGCGCAGGAGAAAAGUUUUGAUGGGUGGCGGGGAGACACGACUUUUUAAAAUGAGUGACUUCUGUGCAUACUCAGAUGGUACUCCAACAUGUAAGAAGACCACAAUAUACCCCCCAUCCCCCUGCUCACAUUUGAACUGGUUCUGUGCUGUUGCUCUGUGAUGUGGUGCUUGUUACAGACUAUGUUCCCAGCAGUGUGCAUUGGAAUGUUGUCUCCUAUUGCAUCUAAGAGCAUUUCCCCAGGUUUCUGGAAAAUGUCAAGUGAGACUGCUCCCUCUCUGCCUUUCUCUUGCUUGCUUCCUUGCUUUUCUUUUGUGACAUUGGGGGGGGGGGAGGGGGGUCAUCCAAAGUAGCAUGGAGGAGCAAAAUAGUGGGACUCUUGGCCAGGUGAGACUUUCUCAACCUGGUGCCCCUCCAGAUGUUGGACUCCAGAUCCCAUCAGCCCAGCCUCUGUGACCAGUAGUCAGCGAUGGUGAGAAUUGUGUUUCGGAAGCAUCUGUAGGGCACCAAGUUGGGGAAUAAACGUCUAGAUUGUGUUUCCAAAUCUAAAAAUUGAGCAAUCUGACCACACUAAAAUGUCUUCCUAAUCUGUGAGGCAGGCAACAACUUUCCAAACAAAUAUGUCCCAAAGGCUCAAAUUCACCCACAGCCUAACAACAAAUCUCAAAAUAUUUCUAAUGUCAAUGAGCAGAAAGCUCUCUUGGAUUUAGGACACACUGUGGGGGGAGAGA